CUGAAAUCCUGUGGCCGCACCACCUGAUUGAAAGGCUGAAACUUUCCCCUCCCGAAACCAUCGCCUCGCCUCCACCGACCACCAUGCCGCCGGACGGAAUCGUCGAGGAUAUUUACCUCCGCCUCCGCCGGACGAGCCCGCGUGCCUCGUUCGCGCCUCCCUCGCCAGCAAGCUCUGGCUCGGCCAUCUCACCGGCCCUCGCUUCCGCGAGCUCCAUGGAGCGCCCCCCAUGCUGGGCUUCCUUUACGAUUGGUUCUGGGACUACAUGCCGGAGGAGAAAGACGCCGUCCCGCGCUUCGUCCCCGACCACCACUGGGGGGAGGGGACUCGGGCUCGGACUACAACGCGUUGGACUGCCGCCAUGGCCGCGUUCUCCUGGGGAUUAUGGCGCGCCCAUGCCGCUCGUCGUCUGGGACCCCAACCAAGAUGGAAGGGCCCAAAGGACAGGAUAUCGGUGUCAUGAGGGCGCCUUCAGGGUCGUCGUCUUCGGCAUGACCACCCAUGGUGAUCAUCCUGUUAUUAUACAGGUGUGCGUGUCCUCGCCCAACACGGGUGAGUGGAGCGAUCCGUGCCCUGGUCUUGAUCUUGGCGUUGACGCAUUCAUCAUGCCGGUGCCCCCUGUCGUCAUCCGAGAUAGAUGCAGUUUACUUGAUGCAUGCAUGCGCGUGGUGAGCAUGAUCACAUUACAGGAAUUCUCAAGUACGACUUGGGCUCUAAUUGCUUAUCGCUGAUUGACAUGCCGCUGCCGGGGGCUGUCAAUGU
rnacentral:rRNA from 1 species